GUCUCUUCGGGGAUGAUUAAACCGGCGCACGGGUGAUUAACACGUGAGUGACCUGCCUUUUAGACUGGAACAACUUACCGAAAGGUGAGCUAAUGCCGGAUGAGUUAUAUAAGUGCAUGUUUAUAUAGGAAAAGUUGGGGAGACCUGACGCUGAAAGAUGGACUCGCGUCCCAUUAGCUAGUUGGUAGGGUAAUGGCCUACCAAGGCGACGAUGGGUAGCCGGCCUGAGAGGGUGGCCGGCCACACUGGGACUGAGACACGGCCCAGACUCCUACGGGAGGCAGCAGUGGGGAAUUUUGCGCAAUGCUCGUAAGAGUGACGCAGCGACGCCGCGUGAAUGACGAAGGCCUUCGGGUCGUAAAGUUCUUUCGACAGGGAAGAAAAUGCCUAUAAGUAACUGUGUAUGUAUUGACGGUACCUGUAUAAGCAGCCCCGACUAACUCCGUGCCAGCAGCCGCGGUAAUACGGAGGGGGCGAGCGUUGUUCGGAGUGACUGGGCGUAAAGAGCACGUAGGCGGUGUUGUAAGUCAUUAGUCAAAGACUAGAGCUCAACUUUAGUAAGGCUAGUGAUACUAUAAUACUAGAGUAUCAGAGAGGAUCGCAGAAUUCCUGGUGUAGCGGUGAAAUGCGUAGAUAUCAGGAGGAAUACCGUUAGCGAAGGCGGCAAUCUGGCUGGAAACUGACGCUGAGGUGCGAAAGCGUGGGUAGCAAACAGGAUUAGAUACCCUGGUAGUCCACGCUGUAAACGAUGGAUGCUAGGUGUUGGGCUUUUAAGUUCAGUGCCGCAGCAAACGCGAUAAGCAUCCCGCCUGGGGAGUACGUUUGCAAG
rnacentral:rRNA from 1 species